UACAGAGGGGGCAAGCGUUAUUCGGAAUUAUUGGGCGUAAAGGGCGCGUAGGCGGUUUUUUAAGUCGGAUGUGCAAUCCCUGGGCUCAACCCAGGAACUGCAUCCGAGACUGGAAGGCUAGAGUACUGGAGAGGGUAACGGAAUUCACGGUGUAGCAGUGAAAUGCGUAGAUAUCGUGAGGAACACCAGAGGCGAAGGCGGUUACCUGGACAGUUACUGACGCUCAGGCACGAAAGCGUGGGGAGCAAAAGGG
rnacentral:rRNA from 1 species